UACACUCCUGCGGGAGGCAGCAGUGGGGAAUUUUGGACAAUGGGGGCAACCCUGAUCCAGCAAUGCCGCGUGAGUGAAGAAGGCCUUCGGGUUGUAAAGCUCUUUUGUCAGGGAAGAAACGGUGGUGGCGAAUAACUACUACUAAUGACGGUACCUGAAGAAUAAGCACCGGCUAACUACGUGCCAGCAGCCGCGGUAAUACGUAGGGUGCAAGCGUUAAUCGGAAUUACUGGGCGUAAAGCGUGCGCAGGCGGUUGUGUAAGUCAGAUGUGAAAUCCCCGGGCUCAACCUGGGAAUUGCAUUUGAGACUGCACGGCUAGAGUGUGUCAGAGGGGGGUAGAAUUCCACGUGUAGCAGUGAAAUGCGUAGAUAUGUGGAGGAAUACCGAUGGCGAAGGCAGCCCCCUGGGAUAACACUGACGCUCAUGCACGAAAGCGUGGGGAGCAAACAGGAUUAGAUACCCUUGUAGUCC
rnacentral:rRNA from 1 species